GCUUGCUUCUUUGCUGACGACCGGCGCACGGGUGCGUAACGCGUAUACAAUCUGCCUUGUACUGGGGGAUAGCCUUUAGAAAUGAAGAUUAAUACCCCAUAGUAUGUAGAGUUCGCAUGGACGUUACAUUAAAGGUUACGGUACAAGAUGAGUAUGCGUCCUAUUAGCUAGAUGGAGUGGUAACGGCACCCCAUGGCAACGAUAGGUAGGGGCCCUGAGAGGGGGAUCCCCCACACUGGUACUGAGACACGGACCAGACUCCUACGGGAGGCAGCAGUGAGGAAUAUUGGACAAUGGAGGCAACUCUGAUCCAGCCAUGCCGCGUGCAGGAAGACUGCCCUAUGGGUUGUAAACUGCUUUUAUACGGGAAGAAACCACUCUACGUGUAGAGUCUUGACGGUACCGUAAGAAUAAGGAUCGGCUAACUCCGUGCCAGCAGCCGCGGUAAUACGGAGGAUCCAAGCGUUAUCCGGAAUCAUUGGGUUUAAAGGGUCCGUAGGUGGACUGGUCAGUCAGAGGUGAAAUCCUGCAGCUUAACUGUAGAACUGCCUUUGAUACUGCUAGUCUUGAAUCAUUAUGAAGUGGUUAGAAUAUGUAGUGUAGCGGUGAAAUGCAUAGAUAUUACAUAGAAUACCAAUUGCGAAGGCAGAUCACUAAUAAUGUAUUGACACUGAUGGACGAAAGCGUAGGUAGCGAACGGGAUUAGAUACCCCGGUAGUCUACGCCGUAACGAUGGAUACUAGCUGUUGGGUUUCGGCUCAGUGGCUAAGCGAAAGUGAUAAGUAUCCCACCUGGGGAGUACGUUCGCAAGAAUGAAACUCAAGGAAUUGACGGGGCCCGCACAAGCGGUGGAGCAUG
rnacentral:rRNA from 1 species